CAGAGUAGGCCGGCGCGCGUUCAGUGCCGCAGAGACGGGGAGUUGCUUUGCGGACGAAUGGGAUCGACGAUCCCGACGGUGCGCCGGACCGCAUCCCGCUGU
rnacentral:ncRNA from 1 species